rnacentral:lncRNA from 10 species
UUUUUUUUUGCCUAGCUGUCCAUAAAAAUAAUGGGGCCUCUCAAAAUUUCCUAGAGGUAAUAAAAUGUGAUCAAUGAGAUACUCUGUGUAACGUGCUGAAUGUGUUUGGGACAUACAGUGAGCCCUGGGAAGAGCUUAGCAACUGUUUGGGUUCUUUUGGGUUAUUUGUCUUGGAUUCUAUGUCUUGUGCAUCUCUGCACUCACCCAGCACCUUGCAUGGUGUCUGGCUCAAUGGAAGCAUCUAAUGAAAGUAACUUAUAAGGUUUUUGUUGUUGCUGUUUUUGAGACAGAGUCUCACUCUGUCACCCAGGCUGGAGCGCAAUGGUGCAAUCUCUGCUCACUGCAACCUCCACCUCCUGGCUUCAAGUGAUUCUCCUGCCUCAGCUUCCCACCUUGGCCUCCUGAGUAGCUGGGAUUACAGGCACCCACCACCACGCCUGGCUAAUUUUUGUAUUUUUGUAGAGAUGGGGUUUCACCAUGUUGGCCAGGCUGGUCUCAAACUCCUGGCCUCAAGUGAUCUGCCUGCCUCGGCCUCCCAAAGUGCUUGGAUUACAGGUGUGAGCCACUGUACCCAGCAAUUUAUAAGGUUUUAAGACUCAAAUAACUCCUUCUAAAGUGAAAUGAGUCUCCUGUUGUGGUGGGAGGCAGACAUCAUUCAACUUAGAGGACACAGCUGGAAAGCAAUGUGAGAAACUAAGAAAAGUAACAAGCUGGUAGAUUGGCAUUUCUGACCCAUCUUCCUGCGAAGUCAGGUAUCAAGGCUUUAAGUACUAAUAGCACAGUACCUGAUGAGAGAAGCACUGGAAUCAAAAUUUCAGCAGAGGAAGGAGGGGGGUGAAUUGCUUGAAGCCAGGAGUUUGAGACCAGCCUGGGCAAUAUAAGGAGACUCCAUCUCUACAAAAAGAA